rnacentral:lncRNA from 1 species
GGCAAUUCUCUCGGUUCCACUUGUACAGUGUGGAAGCUUUGUUCUUUCCCUCUUUGCAAUACAUCUUGCUGCUCCUCUCUUUGGGUCCACGCUGCUUUUAUGAGCUGUAACACUCACUGUGAAGGUCUGCAGUUUCACUCCUGAAGCCAGCGAGACUAGGAAUCCACUGGCAGGAAUGAACAACUCGUGAGGCGCCACCUUUAUGAACUGUUCAACACUCACCACAAAGGUCUGCAGCUGCAGUCCUGAAGCCAGCGAGACCACGAACCCACCAGGAGGAAAAAACACCUCCGGAUGCGCCGCCUUUAAGAGCUGUUACACUGACUGCGGAGGUCUGCGGCUUCACUCCUGAAGUGAGCGAGACCACAAACCCACCAGAAGGAAGAAACUCCGGACACGUCCUAACAUCAGAAGGAACAAACUCUGGGCACACUAUCUUUAAGAACUGUAACACUCACCACGAAGUGAUUCAUCUAAGUUUGGUGCUGAUUGGAAUGAGGUAGCCCAGAGGGAGAGAGGGAGGGUUAGAAGAUGACAAGGAGAGUGAAAGCCAGAGAGUGCAUGCAGCUGAUCAGGAGACAAAGAAGAUCCACAAA